rnacentral:rRNA from 1 species
AACGAUGAUCACUCGCUCUUGGCGAUAUGCUGUCAGGGGCUAAGCGAAAGCGUUAAGUGAUCCACCUGGGGAGUACGACCGCAAGGUUGAAACUCAAAGGAAUUGACGGGGGCCCGCACAAGCGGAGGAACAUGUGGUUUAAUUCGAUGAUACGCGAGGAACCUUACCUGGGCUAGAACGGCAGACUGAUCUACGGGGAAACUUGUAGAGCCUUCGGGGGUCUGUCGAGGUGCUGCAUGGCUGUCGUCAG